UACGUAGGGGGCAAGCGUUGUCCGGAUUUAUUGGGCGUAAAGAGCGUGUAGGCGGCCAGGUAGGUCAGCUGUGAAAACUCGAGGCUCAACCUCGAGACGUCGGUUGAAACCAUCUGGCUAGAGUCCGGAAGAGGAGAGUGGAAUUCCUGGUGUAGCGGUGAAAUGCGCAGAUAUCAGGAAGAACACCCGUGGCGAAGGCGGCGCUCUGGGCCGGUACUGACGCUGAGGAGCGAAAGCGUGGGUAGCAAACAGG
rnacentral:rRNA from 1 species